ensembl:lncRNA
GCUUAACAUGGCUUCUCUUUUCUCAGGACAGCUGUCCCCAGCUGCAGUGACACACUUCCUCUGUUCUUCUCCCAAGUGCCCUCUAGAAUAGAGGACGUCCAUGACCAAGAAAAGAAUCAGCUUACAACUGCGGUGUCCUUCAAGGAGGAGUGUUCUCAUACAGCUGCUUCUGAGGAGCCACGGACCGGGUAGGAUGUUGAGGACAGGGAGCUCAGCAACAGAACCUCCAGAUCUUAUCAAGAAGGAAGACUCAUGGAAAGUGUACGGGUCUCACCCAGAAGAAGCACAGACCAUUCCUCUAACAUCUGACUGUCUAGAACUUAGUCACAUGACCUCACCUGAAGCAAAGGAGUCUGGGAAGCAUAUUCUAGCCUGCAGGACACUUGUAUUUUCCAUGGAAGAAGGAAACUUUCCCAAGGAGAUAAGAAGAGAUUCAGGAAAAGAUAUUAAUUAAUGCAAAACGUUUUUAUUGAACACCUGUCUUUUGCUGGUCAGCGUGUGCAACCCGUACCCCGGAUGUAACCUUGAACCAUAUCAGGAAGUUCCUCUCAGAGUUUCCAAGGGUGUUCAACAAAAAAAACUGUUUUCAAAUUAAAUGUACAACAAUCAGAGGAUGUUUGAAUAAACUGUAUUAUGUCCAUAGGACUAAACA